CCGUUCUUCGGUGUGUCUACUUCUCAAAAACUAUGCUCCAAAUCUUCAGAAUCUACGUGCACAAUCUCUGAACGACUCCCCGGCCAGACGUACAAUGGAGAGGCCGGCACCGAGCAGACUGUGACGUCAUCUCGUGAGUGCGAGGCUGUAUGCACCUACGCACAGGACUGCAAGGCAGCAACGUAUCUCUCCGCCACGAGAUUGUGCACUACUUUCACUGAUCUCAGCAGACGACAGUUAGUGAACAUUGAUGGGGGAAUAACUUUUGUGAAAUCGUGCACAUAGAGAUCUUUGUAGCUAUGGAGGAUGGUUUGCGUGUCAAACUCGGCUGCGAAACGUGAUCAAAAUUAUUGAAGACAGGAGGUCAAGGCGAAGUGAAUUAAUUUCUCAUAAUCUCUGUGCCUGGAUUAUAGGCAAUGAUAUUUUAUUUCGUUUAAUGGAGUUAAUUUUAUCCGUUCAAAAUGUUAUUUUUCACAACACAAGUUUUCCACUGGUGCUUUUAAUUCGGCCAUUAACAAAAAUUAUGGUAACAUUUGCAUAUAAGCAACAAUGUAUAGAUUAUUUUAGUUAGUAAGUUAGUUAGUAAGUGGUAGUUAGUUUGAAAUGUAUUAUUUAUCAACUGAGAAAAGUUGUUUUGUUCGUACAAAGAUUUGUUUAUUUGCUGUUAUUAUCUACUUUUAUUUGAUUUCGGUUUUAUCAACUGAUUAACUCUUUGAUUUAUCAUUUUUAGUAUUGGGGAAUGCGUUAUUUUGUGUUUUGUGUAAAUUAAUUUAAAAUGUUAAUUACUUUAUGUUAUAAAAACCCAAAGGUUCGUAGGAGAUAGUUGCUACAUCUAGCUAGGCACUGUAUUUACCAGGUCCCCGUUUCACA